rnacentral:rRNA from 1 species
GGCUAAUACCGGAUGUGAUCUUACUAACGCAUGUUAGAAAGAUUAAAGGAGUGAUCCGCUUAGGGAUGAGCUUGCGGCCCAUUAGUUUGUUGGCGGGGUAACGGCCCACCAAGACUGCGAUGGGUAGCCGGCCUGAGAGGGUGGACGGCCACAUUGGGACUGAGAUACGGCCCAGACUCCUACGGGAGGCAGCAGUAGGGAAUUUUGCGCAAUGGACGAAAGUCUGACGCAGCAACGCCGCGUGAGGGAUGACUGCCUUCGGGUUGUAAACCUCUGUUGGAUGGGAAAAAACGGUAGCAAUACCUUGAUGGUACCAUUCGAGUAAGCACCGGCUAACUACGUGCCAGCAGCCGCGGUAAUACGUAGGGUGCAAGCGUUGUUCGGAAUUACUGGGCGUAAAGGGAGCGUAGGCGGGAUCGUAAGUUAGGAGUUUAAUGCAUGGGCUUAACCCAUGACCUGCUCUUAAUACUGCGGUUCUUGAGUAUGGGAGAGGGCGAUGGAAUUCCAGGUGUAGCGGUGGAAUGCGUAGAUAUCUGGAAGAACACCAGUAGCGAAGGCGGUCGCCUGGCCCAAUACUGACGCUGAGGCUCGAAAGCUAGGGGAGCGAACAGGAUUAGAUACCCUGGUAGUCCUAGCCGUAAACGAUGAACACUAGUUGCCGGAGGAGUCAAUCUUUUCGGUGACGAAGCUAACGCAUUAAGUGUUCCGCCUGGGAAGUACGCCCGCAAGGGUGAAACUCAAAGGAAUUGACGGGGGCCCGCACAAGCGGUGGAGUAUGUGCUUUAAUUCGAUGCAACGCGAAGAACCUUACCUAGACUUGACAUGGGGGUGAAAAUCCGUAGAAAUAUGGAACCUUCCGCAAGGAACACCCUACACAGGUGCUGCAUGGUUGUCGUCAGCUCGUGUCGUGAGAUGUUGGGUUAAGUCCCGCAACGAGCGCAACCCUCGUCCUUAGUUGCUAACAGGUUAUGCUGAGAACUCUAAGGAGACUGCCUGGUUUAACCAGGAGGAAGGUGGGGAUGACGUCAAAUCCUCAUGGCCCUUACGUCUAGGGCUAGACACGUACUACAAUGGCCGGUACAACGGGCUGCAAGUCGGUGACGACAAGCUAAUCCCUUAAAACCGGUCUCAGUUCGGAUUGAAGUCUGCAAUUCGACUUCAUGAAGCUGGAAUCGCUAGUAAUCGCGGAUCAGCAUGCCGCGGUGAAUACGUUCCCGGGCCUUGUC